CACCCUGUAUACACUUUUUAUUGAUAACGAUCUUCUCGUCGAAAUGAGAAAUAAAAUGGCCUGAUAUAACGGAGGACAUGUCCUCCAGAGGUGGAAGAUUAUCCAAGAUGGUGGUAGUCAUGACGACGGCACAGUGUAUCGAGGAAAAGUACAUUCGUUUCUUGGCUCUUCGACGAAGAGAAUGAAUAAGGGUGCAGGAGCAGAAGCUGGAACGAGGAAAAGUUAGUAAAAGCGG